UACGUAGGGUGCAAGCGUUGUCCGGAAUUAUUGGGCGUAAAGAGCUCGUAGGCGGUUUGUCGCGUCUGCUGUGAAAACUGGAGGCUCAACCUCCAGCCUGCAGUGGGUACGGGCAAACUAGAGUGCGGUAGGGGAGAUUGGAAUUCCUGGUGUAGCGGUGGAAUGCGCAGAUAUCAGGAGGAACACCGAUGGCGAAGGCAGGUCACUGGGCCGCAACUGACGCUGAGGAGCGAAAGCAUGGGGAGCGAACAGG
rnacentral:rRNA from 1 species